rnacentral:rRNA from 1 species
UACGAGUGCCCCAAGCGUUAUCCGGAAUUAUUGGGCGUAAAGGGCGCGUAGGUGGCUUCUUAAGCGUGCGGUGAAAGCCUGGGGCUCAACCCCGGGUCGGCCGUGCGAACUGGGGGGCUGGAGCACUGUAGAGGCAGGCGGAAUUCCGGGUGUAGCGGUGGAAUGCGUAGAGAUCCGGAAGAACACCGGUGGCGAAGGCGGCCUGCUGGGCAGUUGCUGACACUGAGGCGCGACAGCGUGGGGAGCAAACAGG